GGAGAUGUAGCUCACUGGUAGAGUGCUUGCCUGAAAAGCAUGAGGCCUGGGUUCAAUUCCCAGCACCACCA